CCGUGUCACCCAGACCCUGAGAGAGUUAAUGAACGCCCGGCGGCGCCAGCGUUGACGAGGCUGAACAGAGAAACACCUAAUUACAUCCAUCACCUCCUUUCAGCCACAUCGAUUUUACUGCAGUGAUCAAUCACAGCCGUCCUGGCUGUUUCAACCGCCUGUGUGGAUUAAAAAAAAAGACGUUCUGAGGUUUUUACUUCAGGGAGUUUUCCUUCCAAGAUCUUAGUGUUCAGGCUUUUAUCUGCAAUCUUGAACAGAGACUUCCUCUUCCUCCCCUCAGGAAACUGAUUGCCAGUCAACAACAAAUCUAAUGCAGAUGCAGCUUGGCUUCAACAUUAAAACAAACAGAUAUACAAACAUAGGGCAUUCCAGUCCUACGCCCUUUACAUCGUGACGGUGGAGCAUGAAUUUAGAGAAUCAGAAUUCAUCUUUUAGGUCAUUUGAAAAUGUUUUUGGUGUAACAAGACGACAGGACAGGCAUUGGAGUCUGCCACCAGCAGUUUGGUGAUGGAUUAAUUCAGCAGCACCUACAGAGAAGUGGAGACAGAUCUAAAUAUGGCUUUAGCUCUGACUGCAGGGAACAUGGAGGGGGGUUCUUGCAGAAACAUUUCCUUUAAGUUAAAGACACGGACUGAGAGACGAAGCAGGAAGGAUGUCUUCAGUCUUCAGGAGAGCCACACUGACCAGACUGCUCUUCAUGAAAACUGUUCAGCAAAACCAAAGGGAAACCAUCUACAGCAAACCGCCGAAGGAAAAGAUCAGCCCAGAGCAGUCUGCCUUUGCCCUGUGUGUGUUUGGGGCGGCCCUGUUGGUGCCGGCUGGAUGGAUUCUGCAUCAUGUCCCAGAAUACCGGCAGAGAUCGACUCCUUGACAUCCAGAGGAAACCAAAUAAACGUCAAAUGAUUCUGAUUUAAACAGACUCUCUGGUUAAUCUGUGUUUCAAAUCUGUCUCAUUUUAAGUUACUGUUUCUCAGGACUUUUGUUUGUGAAAGUGGUUAAAAAAUAAACUUCACUUACACAGAUUCAGACAGAAGUUUGUUUAAGUUUUUUUAUUUACGUUAUGGAAAUUUUGAGUUGUUUAAUUUGACAUUUAGUUGUGUCUAGUCCAAGUGUAGCUUCAGAAAUCUAGAAUGUAAUUACAGAUAGUCAGAAGAAACAGAUUUUAUUAUAAAACUGCCUUCCAUAAGUCACCAAUUAUUUUUCUUCUGUGUUUUUCUCAGGUUAAAUGUUUUUUCAUAACCUAUGAAUUUACUUUUCAUUUGCUCCAUAAAUGUGUUUCAUUUAACCCAAUAUCGAACAUCUUUCCUGGAUUACGUGGUUUUAUUUUAAGCUUUACAGAUUUCUGGAUCAUUUUAAAUGUUUUUAUGAGAUGUAAGCAGAAAAUCGUCAUCAUGCAGAGAAAUAAAGAUGUAAAAACAUGAAUUUAUUUAAUAAAUUCAGACCUAUCUGUCUGUCUGUCUGUC